rnacentral:lncRNA from 1 species
CAAAAAUACACGACUCAAUUUACCGAAUUUCCGUUGAUGGUGAUCUUCGUCGGUCCUCGAUCGAUAGGAAUCCUCCAAUCGACCUCGCCGCAACUCCUUGCAGCGUCAACGCCUCAACUCCUUGCGCGUCAACGCCUCAUCUCCUUGAAGCGUCCACCGAAUCCUCGGCUUCACGCGAGAUCCACGCCGAACCUCCUUCC